CGGUGCGUUUCGCUUUAGAGCCGGCGGCUGGUUUGGCAGUCUAGAGCUGUGUCUAGUGGGUAGAGGGUGUCCGAUCGGUCGCUUCGCUGUCACCGCUGGAGAAAGGGAAUGGACUCUGGAGCCUAUCAUGUCAUCGUGCGCCCCAGCCACAACCCGAACUCUUUGGAAUUACAGAAUGAUAACUUGGCACGCCUUCUCACCGAUGUUGCAGACCUCCCUGUGGUGGUCUUGUCUGUGGCAGGAGGAUUCCGACUCGGAAAGUCCUUCCUUCUCGGCUUCUGUAUCAGGUAUCUGGAACACUUCGAGAUGUCGUCGCAUCCAUCAGGUUGGCUUUUUCUUGGAAAUACGGCAGCAAAAGACAUACAACUGGUAUUCACCUGUGGGGAAAAGAUUUCAAAAUCAAGACCCCGAAACACGGGCUCGUGGCUGUAGUCCUCAUGGACACGGAAGGUGCAUUCGACAACACGUCCACGCUGGAAGGAAAUGUCACAAUUUUCUCAGUGAGCAUGCUGCUGAGCUCUGUCCAAGUGUACAACCUCACCAAGCAAAUAACCCAGUGCGAUUUGGAGCACCUGAAGAUGACAGGAACGAAGGACUAGUGAAUGGUGUUACAGAUCCACAAGUGACUUCCCAAUAAAAACAAUCAGUCUCAUGCA